GAUGAACGCUGGCGGCGUGCCUAAUACAUGCAAGUCGAGCGAACAGAUAAGGAGCUUGCUCCUUUGACGUUAGCGGCGGACGGGUGAGUAACACGUGGGUAACCUACCUAUAAGACUGGAAUAACUCCGGGGAACCGGGGCUAAUGCCGGAUAACAUUUAGAACCGCAUGGUUCUAAAGUGAAAGAUGGUUUUGCUAUCACUUAUAGAUGGACCCGCGCCGUAUUAGCUAGUUGGUAAGGUAACGGCUUACCAAGGCAACGAUACGUAGCCGACCUGAGAGGGUGAUCGGCCACACUGGAACUGAGACACGGUCCAGACUCCUACGGGAGGCAGCAGUAGGGAAUCUUCCGCAAUGGGCGAAAGCCUGACGGAGCAACGCCGCGUGAGUGAUGAAGGUCUUCGGAUCGUAAAACUCUGUUAUUAGGGAAGAACAAAUGUGUAAGUAACUGUGCACGUCUUGACGGUACCUAAUCAGAAAGCCACGGCUAACUACGUG
rnacentral:rRNA from 1 species